CAUGGGUGACAGCCCCCGUACACGAAGUUCCAUGGGACAUAUCAAGUAGGGCGGGACACGUGAAAUCCUGUCUGAAGAUCGGGGGACCACCCCCGAAGGCUAAGUACUCCUUGCUGACCGAUAGCGAACCAGUACCGUGAGGGAAAGGUGAAAAGCACCCCGACGAGGGGAGUGAAACAGUACCUGAAACCGGACGCCUACAAGCAGUCGGAGGGGCCUUGAGCCCUGACGGCGUACCUUUUGUAUAAUGGGUCAACGACUUGGUCUUACGAGCGAGCUUAAGCCGGUAGGUGUAGGCGCAGCGAAAGCGAGUCUUAAAAGGGCGCAUGAGUUCGUGGGAUCAGACCCGAAACCAGGUGAUCUAGCCAUGAGCAGGAUGAAGGUUGGGUAACACCAACUGGAGGUCCGAACCAACACCCGUUGAAAAGGGUCUGGAUGACUUGUGGCUAGGGGUGAAAGGCUAAUCAAACCUGGAGAUAGCUGGUU
rnacentral:rRNA from 1 species